rnacentral:lncRNA from 1 species
CUGGAGAAUUUUGAGAAUGUCUUUUGUCCCAGCCCCACAUAGAGAAGAAUCCUACCAGGCAAUACCAAGGCCUCCAGCCCCCACGCGCAUGCUAGGCCUCCUUAUCCGGGUCAGGACGAACCAGAGGAGGCCUACGGGGAGAAAUAAGGAGACAGAGGGACAACGCAUAGAGAGGAGCAACAGAGAGUUGGGGGCAGAGUCAGGGAGAUGCGGGAUGCGCCCUCGGGAGCAAGGUCGCCCAAGCCGUAUAGGAGGGGAAGGGAGGACGGAUCGCGCAGGCUCUGACAGCCCAG